CACAGAAAGAUUUCGGCAGCAACCAUGGCCACCUUCGUGGAGCUCAGUACCAAAACCAAGAUGCCCAUUGUGGGUCUGGGUACCUGGAAGUCUCCCCCAAACCAAGUCAAGGAAGCUGUGAAGGCAGCCAUUGAUGCUGGGUAUCACCACAUUGACUGUGCCUAUGCGUAUCAGAAUGAGAAUGAGGUGGGAGAGGCCAUCCAAGAGAAGAUCAAAGAGAAGGCUGUGAGGCGGGAGGAUCUCUUCAUUGUCAGCAAGUUGUGGCCUACCUGCUUUGAGAAAAAACAGCUAAAGGAAGCCUUUCAGAAGACACUCACAGACCUGAAGCUGGACUAUUUGGACCUCUAUCUUGUUCACUGGCCGCAGGGAUUUCAGCCGGGAAAGGAGUUAUUCCCUAAAGAUGAUCAAGGCAAUAUCUUCACCAGUAAAACAACGUUUUUGGAAGCCUGGGAGGGCAUGGAGGAACUGGUGGACCAGGGGCUGGUGAAAGCUCUGGGUGUCUCCAACUUCAAUCACUUCCAGAUUGAAAGACUCCUGAACAAGCCUGGACUGAAACAUAAGCCAGUGACCAACCAGGUCGAAUGUCACCCUUACCUGACCCAGGAGAAACUGAUCCAGUACUGUCACUCCAAGGGCAUCACUGUCACGGCCUACAGUCCCCUGGGCUCCCCAGACAGACCUCACGCUAAGCCAUCGGACCCUUCACUACUUGAGGACCCCAAAAUUAAAGAGAUUGCCGCCAAGCAUAAGAAAACCUCAGCCCAGGUUCUGAUUCGGUUCCACAUCCAGAGGAAUGUGGUGGUGAUCCCGAAGUCUGUGACGCCAGCGCGUAUACAGGAGAACAUUCAGGUCUUUGACUUCCAGUUGAGUGACAAGGAGAUGGCCACUAUCCUUAGCUUCAACAGAAACUGGAGGGCCUGCCUGCUGCCUGAGACAGUAAACAUGGAAGAAUAUCCCUAUGACGCAGAAUACUGAGGCUGAAUCAGUCCCUGAGGCUUCCUCUUUGCCGAUGCACACCUCACUCCCAGAGUCCUGUUUAAGCCCAGCCUGCCUGACAUCGUGCGGUAGGCAAGGCUGUGUUUAAAUCGUCACGCUGACCAGAGACAGACUGUUGCAUGCAAAUGUGCCUUAGAGAAGCGAAUGGGCCUCUCCUUCACUAAUUUGAUCUGAUCAAAUGUUUGUCAAAAACUGGGAACUCUGGUAACAUUUGAGGGUAUAAAGAUAAAAUAAUAAAGAAUCGUAAUGUU